rnacentral:tRNA from 1 species
GCGCUGGUGGCGUCCUCGGGGGUAACGCCACUGGCGGCAUACGCCAGCGGGUUGAGGAACGCCGCGAUCAGGCCCAGUUGCUGGUCGGGGUUGGCGCU